rnacentral:lncRNA from 1 species
AAAUGUAGCCUAUUUUUUAGGAUAAACCACUUAAAUCAUGAGUCCAUUCAUUUUAGUUUCAAUUCCAAACCCAAGGGCUAAUUAUUUCAAUUUAUUAACCUGUAAAUUUUGAGCAUUAACAAUGUGCUCUUCUUCAGGACCUACUUAGGCGUUAGUCCAACUGAUUACACCCCUGUAUAUAAUUUUUCAAUUACUUAAAUGAAUAAUAAACAAAAGAUUCAGAAGUAAUAAGGUAAUGAUAAUCACAACGGGCAAAUCACACAUUGGAGAACCGAACCAACAAUAAUUUUUUAUAUCAAACUUGCAAUUCAUGGGAAUCAAAUCUAAAACCUAUGGUAAGAUACCACUAAGGGGAUGAGAGUUCGGCAAAACCACAUAAUGAGCAACCUAAUUUAGUAUCAAAUUCACUAUCCAUGAAAUUCGUAUCUAAAACCUCUCACUCACUUUUAAGUGAAAAAAAAUACUACUACUAGAAUGUAGUAAUAAAAAGGAUAUUAAGGGAGAGGAUAAUUGAAUUUCAGACUUCAGUAUAAAAAUAAAGGAAAACUAAUGAAAAGGGCUUGAAAACUUUGAGUUUUAAUGAUAAGGACAAAAUAAAGGGUAAAGU